CCUACGGGGUGCAGCAGUGGGGAAUAUUGGGCAAUGGGCGCAAGCCUGACCCAGCAACGCCGCGUGAAGGAAGAAGGCUUUCGGGUUGUAAACUUCUUUUCUCAGGGACGAAGCAAGUGACGGUACCUGAGGAAUAAGCCACGGCUAACUACGUGCCAGCAGCCGCGGUAAUACGUAGGUGGCAAGCGUUAUCCGGAUUUACUGGGUGUAAAGGGCGUGUAGGCGGGAAAGCAAGUCAGAUGUGAAAACCAUGGGCUCAACCUGUGGCCUGCAUUUGAAACUGUUUUUCUUGAGUACUGGAGAGGCAGACGGAAGUCCUAGUGUAGCGGUGAAAUGCGUAGAGAUUAGGAGGAACACCAGUGGCGAAGGCGGUCUGCUGGACAGCAACUGACGCUGAGGCGCGAAAGCGUGGGGAGCAAACAGGAUUAGAUACCCGAGUAGUC
rnacentral:rRNA from 1 species